rnacentral:rRNA from 1 species
UACGUAGGGGGCAAGCGUUGUCCGGAUUUAUUGGGCUUAAAGGGUGCGUAGGCGGUCUUGUAAGUCAGUGGUGAAAUACGGCAGCUCAACUGUCGAGGUGCCAUUGAUACUGUAGGACUUGAGUACAGACGAGGUAGGCGGAAUUGACGGUGUAGCGGUGAAAUGCUUAGAUAUCGUCAAGAACACCGAUAGCGAAGGCAGCUUACUAGGCUGUAACUGACGCUGAGGCACGAAAGUGUGGGGAUCAAACAGG